GACGAACGCUGGCGGCGUGCUUAACACAUGCCAGUCGAACGGAAAGGCCCUGCUUUUGUGGGGUGCUCGAGUGGCGAACGGGUGAGUAACACGUGAGUAACCUGCCCUUGACUUUGGGAUAACUUCAGGAAACUGGGGCUAAUACCGGAUAGGAGCUCCUGCUGCAUGGUGGGGGUUGGAAAGUUUCGGCGGUUGGGGAUGGACUCGCGGCUUAUCAGCUUGUUGGUGGGGUAGUGGCUUACCAAGGCUUUGACGGGUAGCCGGCCUGAGAGGGUGACCGGCCACAUUGGGACUGAGAUACGGCCCAGACUCCUACGGGAGGCAGCAGUGGGGAAUAUUGCACAAUGGGCGGAAGCCUGAUGCAGCAACGCCGCGUGCGGGAUGACGGCCUUCGGGUUGUAAACCGCUUUCUCCUGUGACGAAGCGUGAGUGACGGUAAUGGGUAAAGAAGCACCGGCUAACUACGUG
rnacentral:rRNA from 1 species